GAAAACCCUAAUCCUGCAAUCUUGUUCUCUGUGUGGAUCACUGUUGGAGGCUGAACAAUUGGACAGCUGUAGGUGACAGAGCGAAAUUGCUGGAACGAAAAAAAUGGCAAAAAGUUUGCAGAAUUUUUAAAGGUACGAUUUUCUAUCACAAUUUCUAUCUAAACAUAGAGGGAUCCUUGGUGGGAAUCGAACUUUGUUUUAAUUUUCGCUGUGCAUAUUUAAGUAGAUUCCCAACAGUAUAUGUUAUACUAAUAUACUUGAUGUAAAAAGGGAUAAAUUAAGUUCAAAGGCAGAGCUUGGAGUUUUAGUCGGCUAUUGUGACAAUGCCAAAGGGUAUAGAGUUUUUAAUCCUCAAACCAAGAAAAUGAUGUCCAGUAGAGAUAUUAAGGUGGAUGAAGAGUCUUCAUGGAAUUGGAAAGCAAAUGCCUUGGAUAAACUUCAAAUUCCAAGGUUGGUAACUUAAGAAAAUGAAGACAUCAUCAAUGAGGAUGAACCUGAACAAGACAGUAUUCUGACUCAGAAAAUGAAGUGAUAAGGACUAGAUCUCUUGCUGAUGUUUAUCCAAGAUGUAAUUCAACCGUGUUGGAGCCUUCAAACUUCUAUGUGGCAAUGAAUUCACGUUGUUGGUCGGCUACAAUGAAGGAGGAGCUGAAGAUGAUUGAAAAGAAUGAAACUUGGGAGCUGGUUGAUAGGCCAAGGAAUAAAAAUGUUAUUGGAGUUAAAUGGGUGUUCAAAACCAAGGUGAAUUCUAAUGGAUCUAUCAAUAAGCUCAAAGCCAGAUUAGUUGUGAAGGGUUAUGCUCAACAAUAUGGUGUUGAUUACACAGACACAUUUGCCCCAGUUGCCAGGUAUGAAACCAUCAGAUUGUUGCAGGCCAUUGCUGCUCAAAGAGGCUAGAAAAUCCAUCAAUUGGAUGUUAAGUCAGCCUUCUUAAAUGGAUACCUGAAUGAGGAAAUUUUUGUAGAACAACCAGGUGGUUUUCUGGUGGUUGGAGAAGAAGAUAAGGCAUAUGUAUUGAGGAAGGCAUUGUAUAGCUUGAAGCAGGCUCCAAGGGCUUGGUACAGCAGGAUCGAUGAAUACUUGUACUGCCUUAGCUUUGUUAAAAGUGUUAAUGAGCAAACACUUUAUAUAAAGCAAGUGGAGGAAGAAGUUAUCAUUAUCUCAUUAUAUGUUGAUGAUCAGCUAGUAACUGGAAGUGAUGCAAAGUGAAAGAAGAAAUAAUGAUGGCAUUUGAGAUGAGUGAUUUGGGGGAAAUUUCUUGGAAUGGAAGUGGAUCAAUCUCAAGAAGGUAUCUUUAUCUGUCAAAG
rnacentral:lncRNA from 1 species